AGUAGGUGAACCUGCGGAAGGAUCAUUG
rnacentral:rRNA from 1 species